rnacentral:rRNA from 1 species
UAUCAAUAAGCGGAGGAAAAGAAACCAACAGGGAUUGCCUCAGUAACGGCGAGUGAAGCGGCAACAGCUCAAAUUUGAAAUCUGGCCCCCCCGGGGGGGCCCGAGUUGUAAUUUGCAGAUUGUGCUUUUGGCGAGGCGCCUUCCGAGUUCCCUGGAACGGGACGCCACAGAGGGUGAGAGCCCCGUCUGGUCGGCCGCCGAGCCUCUGUAAAGCACCUUCGACGAGUCGAGUAGUUUGGGAAUGCUGCUCAAAAUGGGAGGUAUAUGUCUUCUAAAGCUAAAUACCGGCCAGAGACCGAUAGCGCACAAGUAGAGUGAUCGAAAGAUGAAAAGCACCUUGAAAAGGGGGUUAAACAGUACGUGAAAUUGUUGAAAGGGAAGCGCUCGCGACCAGACUUGGGCCCGGCGGAUCACCCAGCGUUCUCGCUGGGGCACUCCGCCUCGUCCCAGGCCAGCAUCGGUUCGCGCCGGGGGACAAAGGCGGCGGGAACGUGGCUCCCCCGGGAGUGUUAUAGCCCGCCGCGGAAUGCCCUGGGGCGGACCGAGGACCCGCGCAUCUGCAAGGAUGCUGGCGUAAUGGUCACCAGCGACCCGUCUUGAAACACGGACCAAGGAGUCGUCUUCGUAUGCGAGUGUUCGGGUGUCAAACCCCUACGCGUAAUGAAAGUGAACGCAGGUGAGAGCUUCGGCGCAUCAUCGACCGAUCCUGAUGUUCUCGGAUGGAUUUGAGUAGGAGCAUACGGGGCCGGACCCGAAAGAAGGUGAACUAUGCCUGUGUAGGGUGAAGCCAGAGGAAACUCUGGUGGAGGCUCGCAGCGGUUCUGACGUGCAAAUCGAUCGUCAAACAUGGGCAUGGGGGCGAAAGACUAAUCGAACCUUCUAGUA